UCAGAAUCUGGGAUGAAGACUGAUGCUGACAACUUCGUUUUGCUUACUUACUUCUGCCUUGCAUGUGGGAGAACGCUCAGCUUAUAGUACUCUUCAUAGUCUGGCACUUGCUCUUGACACCUUACUGGCAAUUCUGCACUGUCCUAGAACACACACGCUGCUACCAGAAAGAGAGGGAGAGGAAGAUUUCCUUAUGCUCACAAGAAACUUUAAAUAA